AAAUUCGGAAGGCGCUAAAUAAUUAAGUCUGGGCGGCGUGUGCUUCUCAUCCAGGCAAAUAUUCUCCAUGUUAAGAGACUAACGAGUGUGAGCAUUUGAAGAGGUGUUUUCCAUCUUUACACGUACGGCACUCAGAUCCAAGGAUGCAAUGAGUAGAAAUUGCACAUAUGACGCCACCUAGGAGGAGGACAUGAUUUAACAUCAUAAUGAUGACAGGAUGCGACUUCAUAAUGAUGAAAGGAUGUGACGUCAUAAUGAUGUCUGGAUGUGACGUCAUAUUGAUAAAAGGAUGCGACGUCAUAAUGAUGACAUGAUUUAACAUCAUAAUGAUGACAGGAUGCGACGUCAUAAUGAUGACAGGAUGCGACGUCAUAAUGAUGACAGGAUGCGACGUCAUAAUGAUGACAGGAUGCGACGUCAAAAUGAUGACAAGAUGCGACGUCAUAAUGAUGACAGGAUGGACGUCAUAAUGAUGACAGGAUGCGACGUCAUAAUGAUGACAGGAUGCGACAUCAUAAUAAUGACAGGAUGCGACGUCAUAAUAAUGACAGGAUGUGACGUCAUCAUGACGGCAUGUGAUACAGUGCCAUUCUAGGCCAUUGGUGUAUGAAGCACUCAGGUAGUAUUACAUAGUAGUGAGUAGUAUGACAGGAGGUCACGUGAUGAUGAUGACAGGAUGUGACGCCAUGAUGAUGACAGGAUGUGACGUCACGAUGUCCUCGGGCAGUGCCAGUAGUGUAUAAAGCACUUGGUAGUACUAGAGAGUGAGCUGUAUGUCGAGUCCCCGUAACACUGACACACGAAUACCCGAAGUCCAUUGUUUAAAGUAGUCUCGAGCCGAACCAGGGCCGCUCGGUCGGUGCUGCAGUAAACGCCCAUAAAUCUUUCAUUCUAAAAGAACAGACAGACAGUCAUCUGUUAGACUAGAUGACUUCUUUUUCAUUAUAUUGCUCGAUAAUGAAGUGCAGUCGAGUAUGAAGUCUAGUCUGUGCGUCUGAGCGAGGAUAUAGAUGGACGUUUCUCCGUGUUGGACAGUGGAAAUACAGGUGAUGACGUGCUGGUAUUGAUGCCUAAAUCAUAUUUGAAACCCCUGCCCAAACAAAAACAACACAUGUCUGUGUGUAGUUCGCCCGCAUGGAGGCACACAGUGCUGGAAAUACAGGUGUGAAGGACCGCCUGGGGUGUGUUUGCAUCUGUUGGCACUGACCGCAAAUUUGUCAAUAACACUACUUGUUACAGCA